UACAGAGGUCUCAAGCGUUGUCCGGAAUUAUUGGGCGUAAAGAGCUCGUAGGCGGUCUGUCGCGUCGGCUGUGAAAACCUGGGGCUCAACUCCGGGCCUGCAGCCGAUAUGGGCAGACUAGAAUUCGGUAGGGGAGACUGGAAUUCCUGGUGUAGCGGUGAAAUGCGCAGAUAUCAGGAGGAACACCGGUGGCGAAGGCGGGUCUCUGGGCCGAUAUUGACGCUGAGGAGCGAAAGCGUGGGGAGCGAACAGGA
rnacentral:rRNA from 1 species